CCUACGGUCUGCAGCAGUGGGGAAUAUUGGACAAUGGGCGAAAGCCUGAUCCAGCCAUGCCGCGUGUGUGAAGAAGGCCUUCGGGUUGUAAAGCACUUUCAGUGGGGAAGAAAGCCUUGGGGCUAAUACCCUCGAGGAAGGACAUCACCCACAGAAGAAGCACCGGCUAACUCCGUGCCAGCAGCCGCGGUAAUACGGAGGGUGCGAGCGUUAAUCGGAAUUACUGGGCGUAAAGCGCGCGUAGGCGGUCUGAUAAGCCGGUUGUGAAAGCCCCGGGCUCAACCUGGGAACGGCAUCCGGAACUGUCAGGCUAGAGUGCAGGAGAGGAAGGUAGAAUUCCCGGUGUAGCGGUGAAAUGCGUAGAGAUCGGGAGGAAUACCAGUGGCGAAGGCGGCCUUCUGGACUGACACUGACGCUGAGGUGCGAAAGCGUGGGUAGCAAACAGGAUUAGAUACCCCGGUAGUC
rnacentral:rRNA from 1 species